rnacentral:rRNA from 1 species
AGAGUUUGAUCCUGGCUCAGAACGAACGCUGGCGGCGUGCUUAACACAUGCAAGUCCAACGUGAAAGGGGAGCAAUCCCCCGGUAGGGUGGCGAACGGGUGAGUAAUACAUGGGAACCUGUCCUGGAGAUGGGGAUAUCCUCCCGAAAGGAGGGUUAAUACCGAAUAUCGUCCGGGUGACGGGAGUCACUUGGGGAAAGGGAGGCCUCUGGCAACAUGCUUCCGCUCCGGGAGGAGCCCAUGGCCCAUCAGCUAGUUGGUAGGGUAACGGCCUACCAAGGCAAAGACGGGUAGCUGGUCUGAGAGGACGAUCAGCCACACUGGGACUGAGACACGGCCCAGACUCCUACGGGAGGCGAC